rnacentral:lncRNA from 13 species
GCUCAACUGACAGUGGUCAUUCCUAACGUCGUCAUCGCCACCCUCAUCAUCAUCAUCAUCAUCGUGGUCAUGGUUUUCAGUGUAGAUGAGGGUGUGUUGUGGAGGACUGGUGUGGACCACUAAAGAUAAUUGUGAAGGGCAGUAUGGAGAGAUGGGACCAUGCUCACCUUUGUUCCACAUGUUUAACAAUGGCUGCCAGAGGUUAGCGCUGCGUGGUGUGUGUGUGUGUUUGUAUAUGAGUGUGUGUGUGUGUUUGAUGGAGGUUGAUUGUGAUUGGCUGGGCUGAGGUGUAUCCUGGUCUGCCAAGUGUAAACUCAUGUCAGGAACUGACGGAAGAGAGGCAAUGCAAACAUCCUAAGUGGAACCGGACAAGACAGGCAGUGGUGUUCUGCAUUUGGUUCUGUUUUAUGAGAUGCUGCAGUAGGCUUUGUCCAGUCACCCCACGGAGCAGUUUCUGAAGUCCUAAACUGUGUUCCAAUACUCAUACUAACCGCACUAACAGCACUACUUGUUAUCUAAAUCCAUUAUAUAGUAUGCUUAUUGGUCAUAGUAUGGAUAUAGUUACUAUGUUUAUUGGUCAUAGUGUGGAUAUAGUUAGUAUGGAUAUAGUUAGUAUGCUUAUUGGUCAUAGUGUGGAUAUAGUUAGUAUGGAUAUAGUUAGUAUGCUUAUUGGUCAUAGUAUGGAUAUAGUUAGUAUGGCUAUAGUUAGUAUGCUUAUUGGUCAUAGUAUGGAUAUAGUUAGUAUGGAUAAAGUUAGUAUGGAUAUAGUUAGUAUGCUUAUUGGUCAUAGUGUGGAUAUAGUUAGUAUGGAUAUAGUUAGUAUGGAUAUAGUUAGUAUGGAUAUAGUUAGUAUGGAUAUAGUUAGUAUGGAUAUAGUUAGUAUGCUUAUUGGUCAUGGUAUGGAUGUAGUUAGUAUGGAUAUAGUUAGUAUGGAUAUAGUUAGUAUUGAUAUAGUUAGUAUGAAUAUAGUUAGUAUGCUUAUUGGUCAUAGUAUGGAUAUAGUUAGUAUGGAUAUAGUUAGUAUGGAUAUAGUUAGUAUGGAUAUAGUUAGUAUGGAUAUAGUUAGUAUGGAUAUAGUUAGUAUGGAUAUAGUUAGUAUGGAUAUAGUUAGUGUGGAUAUAGUUAGUAUGGAUAUAGUUAGUAUGGAUAUAGUUAGUAUGGAUAUAGUUAGUAUGGAUAUAGUUAGUAUGGAUAUAGUUAGUAUGGAUAUAGUUAGUAUGGAUAUAGUAGUAUGGAUAUAGUAGUAUGGAUAU